GAUGAACGCUGGCGGCGUGCCUAAUACAUGCAAGUCGAGCGAACGGACGAGAAGCUUGCUUCUCUGAUGUUAGCGGCGGACGGGUGAGUAACACGUGGAUAACCUACCUAUAAGACUGGGAUAACUUCGGGAAACCGUAGCUAAUACCGGAUAAUAUUUUGAACCGCAUGGUUCAAAAGUGAAAGACGGUCUUGCUGUCACUUAUAGAUGGAUCCGCGCUGCAUUAGCUAGUUGGUAAGGUAACGGCUUACCAAGGCAACGAUGCAUAGCCGACCUGAGAGGGUGAUCGGCCACACUGGAACUGAGACACGGUCCAGACUCCUACGGGAGGCAGCAGUAGGGAAUCUUCCGCAAUGGGCGAAAGCCUGACGGAGCAACGCCGCGUGAGUGAUGAAGGUCUUCGGAUCGUAAAACUCUGUUAUUAGGGAAGAACAUAUGUGUAAGUAAAUGUGCACAUCUUGACGGUACCUAAUCAGAAAGCCACGGCUAACUACGUG
rnacentral:rRNA from 1 species